AACAGGUCUGGUCCUGGCCUUAUUAUUAAUUCACAGCAAAAUUACACAUGCAAGCAUCAACACCCCAGUGAGAAUGCCCUCCAGGUCCCUACUUAGACCAAAAGGAGCAAGCAUCAAGUGCACUGAUCACAUCAGUAGCUCACAACGCUUUGCUCAACCACGCCCCCACGGGACACAGCAGUGAUAAAAAUUAAGCAAUGAGCGAAAGCUCGACUAAGUUAUGCUACCACACAGGGUUGGUAAAUCUCGUGCCAGCAACCGCGGUCAUACGAUUAACCCAAAUUAAUAAUCCCCGGCGUAAAGCGUGUUUAGGACAAUACAACAAAUAAAGUUAAACUCUGACUGCGCUGUAAAAAGCCCCAGCUAGAACAAAAAUAUACCACGAAAGUGACUUUAACAAAUCCGAAUACACGAUAGCUAGGACCCAAACUGGGAUUAGAUACCCCACUAUGCCUAGCCCUAAACCAAGACAAUUCACAAACAAAAUUGUUCGCCAGAGUACUACUAGCAACGGCUUAAAACUCAAAGGACUUGGCGGUGCUUUACACCCCUCUAGAGGAGCCUGUUCUAUAAUCGAUAAACCCCGCUACACCUGACCAUCCCUUGCUAAUACAGCCUAUAUACCGCCAUCUUCAGCAGACCCCACAAGGAACUAAAGUGAGCACAAUAAUCCACACAAAAACGUUAGGUCAAGGUGUAGCCCAUGGGAUGGGAAGAAAUGGGCUACAUUUUCUAAAACUAGAACACCAACAAAAACCUUAAUGAAAAUACUUAAGCAUAAGGCGGAUUUAGUAGUAAGCUGGGAAUAGAGAGCCCAACUGAACCGGGCCAUAAAGCACGCACACACCGCCCGUCACCCUCUUCAAUUAUUCAAAACCACGACAAACAUUUUACCCGCCAAACCACAAUAUGAGAAGAGACAAGUCGUAACAAGGUAAACAUACUGGAAAGUGUGUUUGGACGAU
rnacentral:ncRNA from 1 species